rnacentral:misc_RNA from 1 species
UCGAAACCUGCAUAGCAGAGCGACUAGCGAACAUGUUUAUCAUACAUGGGUGAGAUGCCUAAAGUCUUGCGUUGUGUGAUUCUUUGGUAGCCUCUCAUCUGUGCCUAGCGGGGUACCCCUUGACAGGGGGCUCCCUAGGAAGAAUAACAAACCCCGGCGUGGUCUACGCCAAGGAACAUAAAUACUAGUGUGCCCCCUUCGAUCGGUUAUCUGAAAGAGGCGGCGGCACCAUGUCGUACAAAACAUUAAACGACUCUCGGCAACGGAUAUCUCGGCUCUCGCAUCGAUGAAGAACGUAGCGAAAUGCGAUACUUGGUGUGAAUUGCAGAAUCCCGUGAACCAUCGAGUCUUUGAACGCAAGUUGCGCCUGAAGCCUUUUGGCAGAGGGCACGCCUGCCUGGGCGUCACGCAUCGCGUCUCCCCCUACCCAACAUGUGUGGGAAGGCGGAGGAUGAUGGUCUCCCAUGCUUCAUCGGGCGUGGAUGGCCUAAAUAAGGGGCCCUCGGCUUCGAGCUGCUGCGGCGAUAGGUGGUUGGCCAAGGCUUAGCCUAGGAUGCAUCGCGCCAAGCAGCACGUUGUCAAUGGGGCCUCACAAGACCCUUAGUUGCCUACCCUUUUGGGUGGUAUUAAUCGUU